rnacentral:rRNA from 1 species
CGUUGAGAAGUUCGUUGUGCAAUUCAAUGCAUCUUGAAAAUUAAAUCUUAUUGAUAAAUAAAAUAAAUGGUGUUGUAUCGUCAGUAAUAAAAUUAUUUUGAGAUAUUGUUAUUUUAGUAGAGUUAAUCGAAAAAAAAAAGAAAGAGUUAUAGAGUAUAAGUACUGUAAAGGAAAGAUGAAAUAGAUUGAAAAAUAAAUUGAUGGAUAGUAGAGGUUAAUACUCGUACCUUGUGUAUUAGGGAAAAUCAAAAUAAUCUGAUUAUAAAAGAAUUCCCGAAAAAAAAGAGCUAAUAUAAAUAUAUAGUUUUCGUAUUAAUGAAAUUAUAAAAUUUAUAUUAGUAGUGAAACGCUAGUCGAUUUUUUAUAUCUGGUUGUUAACGAAUUAAAUUGAACUUAGUUGUUUUAAGGUGAAUGAAACUUUAAUGCAAUAAAGAAUAGGAGGGAAAAGCUUCUUAUUCUAGCAUAGGUAAAUUAUGAUAAUAAAUGUAAAAUAUUACUGAAUUAGGCUUAAAAACAGCCAUAUU